GACGAACGCUGGCGGCGUGCCUAAUACAUGCAAGUCGAGCGGACUGAAUGGGAGCUUGCUCUUGUUCGGUCAGCGGCGGACGGGUGAGUAACACGUGGGCAACCUGCCCGCAAGACCGGGAUAACUCCGGGAAACCGGAGCUAAUACCGGAUAACACCGAAGACCGCAUGGUCUUUGGUUGAAAGGCGGCGCAAGCUGCCACUUGCGGAUGGGCCCGCGGCGCAUUAGCUAGUUGGUGAGGUAACGGCUCACCAAGGCGACGAUGCGUAGCCGGCCUGAGAGGGGGCCCGGCCACACUGGGACUGAGACACGGCCCAGACUCCUACGGGAGGCAGCAGUAGGGAAUCUUCCGCAAUGGGCGAAAGCCUGACGGAGCGACGCCGCGUGAGCGAAGAAGGCCGUCGGGUCGUAAAGCUCUGUUGUGAGGGACGAAGGAGCGCCGUUUGAAGAAGGCGGCGCGGUGACGGUACCUCACGAGGAAGCCCCGGCUAACUACGUG
rnacentral:rRNA from 1 species